UACGGAAGGCAGCAGUGGGGAAUAUUGCACAAUGGGCGCAAGCCUGAUGCAGCCAUGCCGCGUGUAUGAAGAAGGCCUUCGGGUUGUAAAGUACUUUCAGUCGUGAGGAAGGUGUUAAGGUUAAUAACCUUAGCAAUUGACGUUAGCGACAGAAGAAGCACCGGCUAACUCCGUGCCAGCAGCCGCGGUAAUACGGAGGGUGCGAGCGUUAAUCGGAAUUACUGGGCGUAAAGGGCACGCAGGCGGUUAAUUAAGUUGGAUGUGAAAUCCCCGGGCUUAACCUGGGAAUGGCAUUCAAGACUGGUUAGCUAGAGUCUUGUAGAGGGGGUAGAAUUCCGAUGUGUAGCGGUGAAAUGCGUAGAGAUGUGGAGGAAUACCGGUGGCGAAGGCGGCCCCUGGACAAAGACUGACGCUCAUGUGCGAAAGCGUGGGGA
rnacentral:rRNA from 1 species